CUGAAAAAAUAAACUUUAUUAUACAUACAGAAGCCCAUACCCCAGGAAGCUAUAGACAAACUAUUUGGUCACUGCAUUUGACAUAGAGAAAGUUCACACUGAUAAUCAUGGACAUUGCACAAGAGGAUAUAUAGUGCCAGUGCUCUGGACCUGCCAGAGAUCCAGCUGGUUUAGCUACCAGUGAAACCAAUCCAUCCUCAAGCAGGCUUUCUGCACUGGCUAGAGCAGCUUAGUUUACCAGCAAUAUCAAAAGAGCUACCUCUUUCCCAUGGGAAAAAUGUGACUCUUAAUGCUGUAGUGAGAGGCAGAUAGAAUUCUCCUGGCCAGCACUCUGAAUGCAAUGACCACUCAGGAUCUGAGAGCGACUGGAACUUCCUUUGCAUUCGACAUUCUCCUUUUGGAAGAGGGCAGUCUCAAAUUCAGGAGGUUUUUAGAAAACAUAUGGAAAUACAUCCAUAUUUCCAUAUAUCUUAAAAGAUCCAAUCCAUUUGCAUAAAUUGAUUUGGGUCCAAACAUGCUCCAACACCAGCACCAGCUUUCGACACCAGAGAUACUAGGUUUCAGAACUGUGGCUCCUUCCUCAGCACAGGGGAGAGAGUUUAUUUCUGGAAUUUCUGCCUUUGCUUCAGGCCCACACAGCACAUUAUGGAUCCCUUCAACACAGCCUGAGCAGGUUUGGUCUCGUGACAAGUAUUUAGUGGAUGAAAAGGCAGGAGCUGGGCUGCUCUGAUUUCUAGAGGUAAGGCAGCACCUUCCACCAUGAGAGGUGCACAGAUGCUAUAAACAGGAGGGCUUUUAACUUUAGAGCUAAAAAGUUUCAUGUUCCCUAUUCCUUUUAAAUAACUAAAUUACAGGCAUUAUUUUACAGGCUUGUCAGGGCAGACAUAUGACUGCUUCUAAGUGGAAUGCUCAUCAGGGCCAGAUAUACUAAUUUUGGCCCCUCUUCAACAGGAGAUGCAACUGAGCAGGAAACGUGAUUUUAAGAUUCACAUUUCUUAAAGUGCCCAUAACUUCCUUAGGAUAUGCAUUUCAGACAGCUCUGAGCCAUGGAGCAAAUCUAAGGGAUGGAAGAAAGGGAAGACAAUUCUUUCACAGCCAGCUACAGCGUUCCCCCAGCCCCACUCAUGGAUUCAGCCUAAGAGGGAGAAGACCGUGCAGUUGUACAAGUGCUGAAGUACUGCAGCUACUCAAGAGUGUUUUUCUUUUUCCUACUGCAGCACAGUAUCUAUAAUGAGUGGUACUACUUCCAGGUACAGGACCAGAUGCUGUCCUUGAGGCCUGCAGCACAGAAAAUGAACCACUCAUGUAGAAACAGCGAGGGAAGGGCAGAUCUCCUGGAGCAGCUCCCCAGCCCCAGCACUGACUCAGAGCAGCAGCAGGUGCUGGCAGCAGCUGCUGCUGCAGGGCUGCUUUGGGAAAGGCUGCAGCUGGACAAGUGCUGCCCUCCUGCGAGGCCCUCGGCACGCACAGGGCUCUGGCUCCA